ensembl:lncRNA
UGGCAACACUGCCUUGGAGAUUUCUUCAAUCUCGGAGAAUGAAUACUACUGAAACAAACAUUUCUGCGUCUCAUCAUUUUACCCUAUUAAGUCAGUUGUGUAAUGUGCAAUAUGAGUCAAAAUAUUGAGGUAGCAUGGUUAAUUACCUAGUCCAUGAGUUUGAUGUUUGAAGGCAAUUGAAUGGAUUUUUAACCGAGUGAAACACUGGCUGUUUUUUUCCCCCAUUGACUGCCAUGGGCAAGUCUCUUGACGGGUACCAGGAAUGGUGGGAGGCCAAUCUGAAGGUAAUUAUCGUUGCACACAACAGCAGCGUCUAGGCCUCCAGAGUACUCACCCUAUCGCCUGCUGUACGGACGGGAGCUGCAGCUGUUUACGGAGUUGUCAAACCAGAUCAGAAGGCCUCGAGGACCACCUUCAGGCAUGGGCUGAGAAGGAUGUGGAUCAGGUGAGACUGAACAUGGACAUAGCGCAGGAGAAACAGGAUUGCCAUUGGAGGAGAAUCAAGGGUUCCAAGUGUUUCAAAAUCUGGGUGAAUGACUUGGCUUGGAAGAAGGAUGAAAGGAAGGCAAGACCUGGG